UAUCAUGCGAGUGGACAGCUUACACCAAGAGGAGUCCCCAGACUCUGGGGACUGGAUCCGCUCUUAACUUCUCUUUCCUCUGGAGAAAUUGGUACCUAUGGAUGAGAGCUGGUCCAGGUGGAAGACUUUGACCUUCAAGCUCCCAGACCUCCUGGUUUCUAUUUGCUGCCCUCUUUGUUUGGAAUGCUGCCCCCUGCCUUGCCUCCCAAAGCCCAAAGCUCCUUUGUCUUACUCAUUCCUAAAAGCCAUCUUCCAGCACUUCUUCCUCUGAGGGGUGGCAAGAAGAAAAGAAGUCUGGGGCUCUGGGGCCCAGUGCUGUUUGCAGCCACCUUAUUCUUCACAUGCUCAGAGACAGGAAGCACAUGCUGGGCCAGAACCAUGGAGAAGGGCCAGAACCAUGGAGAACGUCGCUUGACUGGGCACCACAAGAACCCACGGGUUUACUUUAAAUGUGUAAAUGUUCUGCAUUCCUUUAAAUUUGACUCCUUAUGUAUUCUACUUGUUACCAAACUUUUAGGCAAUUAAGAGGAAAAUGUCCUUAAACUGGAAAAAAUAUUUUUCUCAAGUAGUUAACCACAAGCAACACAUAAUAAGCUUAAAAGCUGUACUUCCCAAAUGUUCUACAAUGAGCAUGUAUUUUUUUUAUAAUCAGAAAAAAAUGUUCUUAAAACAUUUUAAAGCAAAACCCUAAAACAUGGAUAACCCACACUGUUGGUGAAGUUAUGGGGAAAUAGACACUCUCAAAUACAACUGAUAGGAACAUAAAUUCAUGUAAUUCCCAUGGAGGGCAAUUCUGCAAUCUGUAUCAAGAGUGUAAAUGUAUAUAUUCUUGACCUAGAUAUUCAUCAUUUGUGAAUUUAUCCCAUAGG